rnacentral:antisense_RNA from 1 species
GUGGGAGCGGGCUUGCUCGCGAAUGCGGUGUGUCAGAUACAAGAAUUUUGCCUGACACACUGCAUUCGCGAGCAAGCCCGCUCCCAC